rnacentral:rRNA from 1 species
CACAUGCAAGUCGAACGGUAGCAGGCCCGCAAGGGUGCUGACGAGUGGCGGACGGGUGAGGAAUACAUCGGAAUUUGCCCAGUCGUGGGGGAUAACGUAGGGAAACUUACGCUAACACCGCAUACGACCAAACGGUGAAAGCGGGGGAUCGCAAGACCUCGCGCGAGUGGAUGAGCCGAUGUCGGAUUAGCUAGUUGGUGGGGUAAAGGCCUACCAAGGCGACGAUCCGUAGCUGGUCUGAGAGGAUGAUCAGCCACACUGGGACUGAGACACGGCCCAGACUCCUACGGGAGGCAGCAGUGGGGAAUAUUGGACAAUGGGGGCAACCCUGAUCCAGCAAUGCCGCGUGUGUGAAGAAGGCCUUCGGGUUGUAAAGCGCUUUUAUCCGGAACGAAACGCGCAGGGUGAAUAUCCUUGCGAACUGACGGUACCGGAGGAAUAAGCACCGGCUAACUUCGUGCCAGCAGCCGCGGUAAUACGAAGGGUGCAAGCGUUACUCGGAAUUACUGGGCGUAAAGGGUGCGUAGGUGGUUGUUUAAGUCUGCUGUGAAAGCCCCGGGCUCAACCUGGGAAUGGCAGUGGAUACUGGACAGCUAGAGUGCGGUAGAGGGUAGUGGAAUUCCCGGUGUAGCAGUGAAAUGCGUAGAGAUCGGGAGGAACACCAGUGGCGAAGGCGGCUACCUGGACCAGCACUGACACUGAAGCACGAAAGCGUGGGGAGC